GGUAGUGUGGCUGAGUGGUCUAAGGUGCUAGAUUUAGGCUCCAGUCUCUUUGGAGGUGUGGGUUCAAAUCCUGCCACUGAUUU